rnacentral:rRNA from 1 species
UCCACGCCCUAAACGAUGUUCACUAGUCGUCGGAAUGCUAGUCAUUUCGGUGAUGCACUUAACAGAUUAAGUGAACCGCCUGGGGAGUACGGUCGCAAGAUUAAAACUCAAAGGAAUGGACGGGGACCCGCACAAAUGGUAGAUACAGAGGGUCGCAAACCGGUAGCGGUAAGCCAAUCUCAGAAAGUCUAUCUCAGUUCGGAUUGAGGUCUGCAACUCGACCUCAUGAAGUUGGAAUCGCUAGUAAUCGCGUAUCAGCAAUGACGCGGUGAAUACGUUCCCGGACCUUGUACACACCGCCCGUCAAGCCAUGGAAGUUGGGUGGACCUGAAGUGGGUGACCGUAAAAGGGCUCAUUAAGGUUAAACCAGUAA